rnacentral:misc_RNA from 1 species
CGACCCCAAAUUUUUGGAAUAAAAAUUUAGUUGAGUUGAGUUAAACGUUCUUGGCAUUUAGAAAACUAAUUUGGCAUUUUUCUAAUUUUCAUGCAUUAAGAGUUGCAUUGAUACAUGCUUAUUCAUUGCUUAAAACUUGAAUGCAAGUUUUCAUCUUUGAAACUGUUUUCACCGUAUGCAUAUCACUAUUUUGUUGCACCUGAAUAUAAGUUUGUAUCUUUGAAAGUGUCUUCGUAGUAUGAGUAUCGCUAUUUUGUUGCACCUCCUCGAAGAUCUGAAGCUGCACAGUUAUGGUUUCACUGUGCAGACAGCUUAUCAUUUUGAUAUAUGAUGCGAAGGACAAUGAAAUCAAAAACAAAUUUUCUGAAUAUUUGUUCCUGAUUGCAAAAUACCAUAAUUUACACAAUUGUUUAAGCCUUUAAUGUGCAGAUACAAAGCAAAGUUCUAAUUUUCUGGAUAAGCUGCACGAGUUAUUGGUUAGCUCCCCUUGAAAUUUUCACUCCCGGGUCAUACUCAGUAGGCUGCACACAACCUUUUAUAGGAGACCUUGUUGGUGAUUGAUUUAUCAUACGCAUCAUUUUUUGACACAUGUUUGCAUGUGUCCAGCUCCUGUUUCAACCAUCUUUAUGGGAAAUACCCCGUGAAUCUGUGACUGUUUUCUAGGUAUAGCUGCAAAAGAUUGACAGCUUCGGCUGCCAAGCACCACUGUGUGGUUUCACAGUUCUAGAGCAACUGCUUAUUGCAAAAUGCUAAAGGUUAGGAAACAUCUAGAGCACCCUUCCAUAACCCUGCUGAGGUAGUGCUUGCAAUUGGUAAUGAGCGUAAAAAACGUACUCUUGAUUCUUCUAGUGAGAAUCUAUCUCAUUGAAAAACACAUAUGCUAAGUUUUAGCAUUUAUUUUGCCAAGUGAGUGAUGAAAUGAGACACAAGACAGCUCCUUGUGUCGUGCUGGCAGAUUUAGGUAGUGAUAGAGCUGGUACUCUAACUGAGAAUGGAUUGGGUGAUCAAUGUUAAUUCUUAUCUGCUACAAGAUCUAAAAGAAUAGAUUCCAAAUUUUCCAUUACUUCAAUCAUCAUCGUUCUCAUAAUCAACUGUAUUAUUUCACUCUUCAGAAAAAUUGUUACCAGUAGUGGUACAACACUUCCAUGUUCAUGAUUCCAAUAUAAAAAUUCGAAUCACCUUUAUUAAUCAUCUGUGGGAAUGUUCAGAAUGAUGGAAAUCUACAUGCCAAGACAUAGAAAAUUAGCUGUGUUUAAGAAUCUAAAGCCAGAAUCUUAAGUGGUAAUGGCAGGUAAUUUGCUGUCCUAAACGGCAAACAGUGUAAGUGGUAAGGGAUGAUGGGAACUUUCUUGUGUUUGACUGUGGGAUUUGGGAUUCGGGAUUCACAUUUGUAGCAUAAACUACUUAAAAUAGUGUUCUAUAUUUGGAAUUUAUGUCAAAUUAAUCUUGUUUGUAGUUGUGUGUAAUCUACUAGUAAUUUUAUUGCAUUUGAUGUUGAGAUUUCUCAGAAUUCAAAUAUGCGUGAAAUUGCCUAUUUUAUCUCCCUUUAUUUUAUUGAAUUAGGACAUGAAAGUGAUGGAAUAAUCCCAUUUACAUAGCCUAUGCCAACUAUUGCAGUUAUGGCAUCCUGAUACCUGAUAUUGUUUUCGAAUACCGUGCAGGCCUUGCCACCAGCAGAUUUCAUGGCACUACAUUAACAUCUUUUAUCUGCCAAGAUAUACUUCCUACUGGCCCAUUGCAUCCUGAGAAAUAUGGAACAAGUAAUUGGUGCAGGCAUAUAAAAGUGGAAGAUGGUUCUGAUUUUAGUCUACUAUCAUCUAUUCCUGUUACAA